UUUUGGUCAAGCAAGUAAGGGCAAACGGCGAAUGCCUUGGCGCUAGGAGGCGAUGAAGGACGUGGCUAGCUGCGAUAUGCCUCGGGGAGCUGCUAAGCGAGCUUUGAUCCGGGGAUUUCCGAAUGGGGAAACCCAUCCAGGGUCAUGCCUGGAUAUCCCUCGCUGAAUUCAUAGGCGUGGGAGGCGAACCCGGGGAACUGACACAUCUCAGUACCCGGAGGAAGAGAAAUCAACCGAGAUUCCCUUAGUAGCGGCGAGCGAAAGGGGAACAGCCUAAACCGAUGGGAAGCAAUUCCCAUCGGGGUCGUGGGACCUUAACGUGAGACCCGGAGGGGUAGUCGAACGGCCUGGAAAGGCCGGCCAUAGAGGGUGAUAGCCCCGUAGGCGAAACUUCAAAGGGCUCUAGAGGACUCCCGAGUAGCGCCGGACACGUGGAACCCGGCGUGAAUCUGGGUGGACCAUCAUCCAAGGCUAAAUACUACCUAGCGACCGAUAGUGAACCAGUACCGUGAGGGAAAGGUGAAAAGAACCCCGGUGAGGGGAGUGAAAUAGACCCUGAAACCGUUUGCCUACAAACAGUGGGAGCCCUAUGGCGCCUUCGGGCGCAAUGGGUGACCGCGUACCUUUUGCAUAAUGAGUCCGCGAGUUACUCUCGAUAGCAAGGUUAAGCCGUUAGGUGUAGCCGUAGCGAAAGCGAGUCCGAAUAGGGCGCUUAGUUACCGGGAGUAGACCCGAAGCCGAGUGAUCUACCCAUGGCCAGGGUGAAGCUACGGUAAGACGUAGUGGAGGCCCGAACCGUAGAAGGUUGAAAACUUCCCGGAUGAGCUGUGGGUAGGGGUGAAAGGCCAAUCAAACUCGGAGAUAUCUGGUUCUCCCCGAAAUAUAUUUAGGUAUAGCGUCGUAUGAUCUCCACCGGAGGUAGAGCACUGAUUGGGCUAGGGGUCCUACCAGAUUACCGAACCCACUCAAACUCCGAAUGCCGGUGAGAGCAGUGCGGCAGUCAGACUGCGGGGGAUAAGCUCCGUGGUCGAGAGGGAAACAGCCCAGACCGCCGGCUAAGGUCCCCAAGUACACGCUGAGUGGGAAAGGAUGUGAGACCGCUCAGACAACCAGGAGGUUGGCUUAGAAGCAGCCAUCCUUUAAAAAGUGCGUAACAGCUUACUGGUCAAGUAGUCCUGCGCCGAAAAUGUAACGGGGCUAAGCGUGUCACCGAAGCCGCGGAGCGAAGCAACCCUCGGGUUACUUCGUUGGUAGGGGAGCGUUCCAGUUGCCUGUGAAGGUCGACCGUAAGGACGGCUGGAGGUCCUGGAAGUGCAUAUGCGGACAUGAGUAGCGAUAAAGCAGGUGAGAAACCUGCUCGCCGUAAACCUAAGGUUUCCUGGGUAAAGCUAAUCUGCCCAGGGUUAGUCGGCCCCUAAGCCGAGGCCGAAAGGCGUAGGUGAUGGGAAACGGGUUAAUAAUUCCCGUACCACUAACAUGACGUUUGACCGAAGGGGGGACGGAGAAGGGUAGUCGAGCCGGAGAUUGGAAGUUCCGGUUCAAGCCAGUAGGCGGGGGGAGUAGGCAAAUCCGCUCCCUCAUUCCAAACGUCGAGAGGCGAUGUCGAGAGCUUCGGCUCAUAAAGUCGGCGAUCCCACGCUUCCAAGAAAAGCCUCGUAGGGAGUCAUGUUGGUGACCGUACCGUAAACCGACACAGGUAGGUGGGGAGAGAAUCCCAAGGCGCUUGAGAGAACUCUGGUUAAGGAACUCGGCAAAUUGGCACCGUAACUUCGGGAGAAGGUGCGCCCUGGCUGGUGAAAGGACUUGCUCCUGGAGCUGGCUGGGGUUGCAGUGACCUGGGGGUAGCGACUGUUUACUAAAAACACAGGACUCUGCGAACUCUUAAGAGGACGUAUAGGGUCUGACGCCUGCCCGGUGCCGGAAGGUUAAGGGGAUCUGUCAGCUCCUUCGGGGGCGAAGCGGUGAACUGAAGCCCCGGUAAACGGCGGCCGUAACUAUAACGGUCCUAAGGUAGCGAAAUUCCUUGUCGGGUAAGUUCCGACCUGCACGAAUGGUGUAACGAUCUGGACACUGUCUCAGCCAUGAGCUCGGUGAAAUUGUAGUAACGGUGAAGAUGCCGUUUACCCGCUGUGGGACGAAAAGACCCCGUGAACCUUUACUAUAGCUUAGUAUUGACUUUGGAUAAGUAAUGUGUAGGAUAGGUGGGAGACUUUGAAGUGGCGUCGCCAGGCGUUGUGGAGUCACUGUUGAAAUACCACCCUUUACUUAUCUGAAGCCUAAUCCCGCCUCAGGCGGGAGACAGUGCUUGGUGGGUAGUUUGACUGGGGUGGUCGCCUCCAAAAGAGUAACGGAGGCUUCUAAAGGUUCCCUCAAUACGGUUGGCAAUCGUGUGUAGAGUGCAAUGGCAUAAGGGAGCUUGACUGAGAGACCUACAAGUCGAUCAGGUACGAAAGUAGAGCAUAGUGAUCCGGUGGUUCCGCAUGGAAGGGCCAUCGCUCAAAGGAUAAAAGGUACUCCGGGGAUAACAGGCUGAUCUCCCCCAAGAGCUCACAUCGACGGGGGGGUUUGGCACCUCGAUGUCGGCUCGUCACAUCCUGGGGCUGGAGAAGGUCCCAAGGGUUGGGCUGUUCGCCCAUUAAAGUGGCACGCGAGCUGGGUUCAGAACGUCGUGAGACAGUUCGGUCUCUAUCUACUGUGGGCGUUAGAAAUUUGAGUGAAUCUGACUCUAGUACGAGAGGACCGAGUUGGACUAACCUCUGGUGUACCAGUUGUUCCGCCAGGAGCAUUGCUGGGUAGCUACGUUGGGAAGGGAUAAGCGCUGAAAGCAUAUAAGCGCGAAACCCACCACAAGAUGAGAUUUCUUUAAAGGGUCGUGGGAGAUUACCACGUUGAUAGGCUAUAGGUGUAAAUGCAGUAAUGCAGGUAGCCGAGUAGUACUAAUAACCCAUAGGCUUAUUGUC
rnacentral:rRNA from 1 species